UUCUAUCAAUCCAAUAGAAAUAUGUAAUACAAAUUGCCUUCUCUUACCUCGCAGUGAGAUCCAAGAGAAAAUCAGGAGAUCCAAUAGUAAUAUUUUCCUAGAAUUUAUCUACUGACACUAGAAUAUUAAAAAUUAUUUGUUAUUUACUGUUUGCGUUUGCAAAUCGGGAUUCUCCGAUCAAAUGUGAUAUUAAAUUCAUGACUGAUAGCAGACUGGCUCCAUAACAGAGUCAACAGCAGGUGCUAAUCCAUGGCGACCUGACUGCCGCUUGGAGCCAAGAUUUAGUUAAACGGGAGAAGACCCAUGAAACCGACCGUUGUUUCAUGACACAAUAACCUGUUUAUAUUUCACUAUUUUGUCUUAUUUUUGCCCCUUCCAAUUUUUUGUAGCUUUACUUAAUGCUCUUGUUCAGUUAUUUUAUUGUGCUUUAAAAAGAAAAUGUAACUUGCAUUGUAGAAUUUUUGGGAGCUCAACAGUUGACGCGCAUCCAGUCAGACACGGGUGUUUGUUGUUUACAAUAGCAAUCCACCUUUUGCAUGGUGCCGAAAGUAAGCUACUUUCACGAUUGGAGGAAGCCUUUGCUUCUCCAUGGUUUCCUUCAAAUUUAAAGCAGUUAAUUUGUGACCAUUUUGUCUUAUCAUUCACCCUCUUCAGUAUAGACAGCACUAGCUUGCUAAUCUGAAUUCUUUUGUAUUCCUCCAAUUAUGUAUGUCUACUCUUUUAUUGGCUAAUUGUUUUGUAUUAUUGGUAUUGGAUGACUGAUCUGUGUAUUUAUAGCCUAGAGAAACUAGCUCAAAGAAGAUAGCUUGAAAUAUUUUCGAAUUUCAUGUUAGGAAUUAUACAAAUUUUCGCAACAGUUUCUGUCAACCUACUUACUUCCCUGUUUUGGUACUUGUUGAUAUUAUUCCUUAUUUUUGUAUCAUUCAUGUGCUUAUCUAGACCCCCGUUUGAUUUCUUGUAUUAUUCCUCAAGUUUGAGUUGCUUGUAUUGCCGAUUGCUGGAUGCUUGUCAUUACUUAUUUGCACCAAUUCUGACUCUGACUUCUGGAAGGGAAGCUCCUUCACUGACAACCGAGGUUUAGUCACAAAUAUAUUUAUUUGCCAUACCCAAUUGUAUCCAUUUUAAUGAGGAUUUUGUGAGGAAAAUUAGUUCCUCACUUCAAAUAAUAUUUUGUUGUGUAAUUAGGUUAUCAUCCGUGGGCACAAGUAGGCGCAGAUAUAACCUGUAUUUCAGAAAUCUGAAAUCUCUCUUCUGAAUCGUCUAUUUGCAGUAAUAUAUACAUAAUAUUUGCUUUUUCAAAAAUAAACUCUAUUAUGCCUCGUCUCCAGAGUUACAUUAAUAUUUAUAUAUUUUAUUUGUGUAGGAUCAAAUUCAAGUGUUUCUUCCACUGGCACAUUUAUUGUUGAAGAAGAAGAAUGAUCAUUCAUGAGUUGAUAGAACUAAGUUUUAUGGUUGUUUUUAGUUAAUAAAAUGUUUCAAGUUGGAUGUUUAUUUAUCAAAUUAUAUUAGUGUGUUACUGUGUUUAGUUUUUUUGGAUAAUUUACUGUAUUUAGUUUUAUAAACGGAUAUUUUAAUGGAUUCAAAUAUUUAACAGAUAGUGAUUAUUUAAGUGGAUACAGAUUCGGAUAAUGAAGUUGAAUUUAAACUGAUAAUUAAACAAAUUCGGAUAUCAUGAAAAAUAAAUGAAUUUAAAUAUGAACAUUUUAAAAUUAGUGAAUUUCCACUCUGUGGCCAUUCCUACUUCACUAUACCUUGCUGAGCUGUUCUAGGUAAUUCCAGUUUUGUCUUUUGUUGUCAUCUUAAUGGUUACCUACAACUUUUACAAUAGGAAUUUUUUUACUGCAACUUCUGAUUGAUCUGAGCUUACCCCUUUUACAUUGGCUCUAUUUUUUACGGUAAGAUCCAUGCUGUUAGAAAUAAAUCUUUGCUGUUGGUGAACGAAAAAAAUAUCUAUUUUGUUCUCAAGGAAAGGUGAAAAUUUGGGUUGUUCUUCUUUUUUAGCCUGCCUGGGUUGACAGUGCUUGACCACUCUCUUUAAAAAACAUUCCACUCUUAACAUCUGAUGAUCUACAAUGUUUUCACUACCGUUGCAGAUUUUUCUUGCAGAUGCCAUAUGCUACUUCAAAUCCUGUGCCCUGAGCUGAGAUGAACCCACUUCAUAAGUUCCUUUUCAUAUGGGUUGUUAUCAUUUUUCUUUCUUGGACAUGCACCGCUCAAUGUGAUGUAAAAUAACUUAUCAAGUAGAUUUUCACAUAUCAAAAGCCAACUAUAAGAAUGGAUAUGUUCAAAAUUUAAAUGACAGCUCUUCAUGUCUUUUCAUCUAGAUUGUAGGAUAAGGCCUAAAGAAGCCUUUUGUUUAAAUUGAUGCCAUAAAGUUUUCUGGUAUUCUUGUUGUUUACGGAAGGGUGGUCAGGAGUGGGAUUUGUGAACAUAUACCUUUUUUAAGAAUUUCUAAAAAUAAAAUUGAGUGGUAUGAGUUCACAAUAAAUGCUAUUUUAAGAACCAAUCCUAUCAUUGGCUGAUAAACCUUCAACAAUCACUAGUAUCCCUUGCAACUGAAGAGAAGUGAAAACUUAAUUUCAACAUAAUGCUCGACUUCUUAGCAGAGAUAUUUGGCUGUGCAUGUAAGUGAGAAUUACAUAGAAUAAGAGUAAACACUGUAAUUUUUGUUUGAUUUGGAGAUAAUUCUUUUGUGUUUUCCCCCGGUUUGGUGUCUGAUGGAGUAAUUAAUUUAUCCAUGCCUUACAGGAUGCGAUGCGUUAAAGUCUUCACCUUGGCUACCAUUGCUUGAGAUGUUACUUGAAUAAUUGGUGGAUGCAAUUCAAUCUUGAUGAGGUCAGAUAACUACUGAUGGCAGAUGUUGUCGGACAGGUGGUAGCAUAUUAUGGAAUAUCAUAAAAGCGCGAGAACCAGCUGCUGCCAAAGACUUUGAGAAGCAAUUUAAGCCACAAAAUAUCAUACAGGCACCAGCAGCACAGAACAAAGAGAGUUCUUCUCAAGAAAUUGUCUGUACACCAUCUAAUGGAACUUCAGCAAGUGUUCCCGAUGACUCUCAACUAAUUCCUCAAAGCCCGCACGAACGGUUCCCUUUCGAUCUAAGCUUUGAAAUUAUAGACAAAAUCAUCUAAGCAGGUGUACUUAGAAAAGGAAGUCUCAAGUUGGAAUCUUUUCCCAACUUAACCAAUGAUGGCAAUAGUAAGAAGUGAAAAGAAAUGGAUACUGACCACUCUCAAAAUCCGGUUCUGUGAAAGAGAUUUCUUGGCUUCAUGAGCUGCUAAGCCGAAUAAAUUGGUGAGAUCGCCUGACCAGAAGAGACAAUGGUAGCCGAGAGUGCCCGAAGCGCAGCAAUGGUCGACUCAACACUCUGCUGAACUCUUUUCUAAGCUAUAAAACCACAACAAAUGAAAAUGAAAAUGAAAUAGAAAAGGAGAAAGAAAAAGUACCCAAGAGGCGGAUUUGGAGAGAGUGGCGAAAGCAAAGCGGUGGUUGGGGUUGAUAGAGAGCUUGGAGUUGACGAAGAGAAAGAUCAAGCGAAAAUGGCGUGUACGCAUGACCACAGCUGCGAAGAUCACGAUUGUUCUUAUAAUUCAUCUCUUUACAAGCACAUCAAGGUCCUUUCUCUCAUUAUUUUUAGCCGGAAUAAUUUGAAGAUUCAACCGACUCAUUACUAAUUUUUGUCGUCACUAAUUGAUUUUUGAAGUAAAAUUCGAUUUAUUUUUCCACUAUCCUAUUUAAAGGAAUUUACGUGUUGUUUUUUUCCCCCCUUAAAAGUUUGUUUAUUGUUUAGAUAAUUGCUUUGAAUGAGGCUAAUCCAGGAACUACUUUAUUUUUGUUAAUUCCUAUUUGCAAUUUUUGACAUUUUGGAGUGGGGUUUAGGCUCCGCUUGUUGUACGCAAGUAAUGAAUCUUACGUGAAAUGCAAUUUUGAUACUUAAUUGUCGCUCAUUAAUAUGAGCUGAUUUAAUGCUUGUUUUGAGUGAUAUAGUUUUGUCAAUUCAAUCUUUUAUCUUGAUCCAAUGGGAU